GAAAGUGGUGCCUCACAUAGAUCACCAAAAGACCCCAUUGAUCUUCAUGAAGCCUCGGCCUGCAACCCCGUUGUCGAUCCCCACUAAGCUCACUGUCAACUUUGUGCUCCCUUAUGCGUCCGACCUUUAGGCGAAAGAGGGGACCUUGCCCUGCCUAUUGGGCGGUCACCAAAUUUUUGGGUGUUCUAUAUCAUACUAGAUAAGGUGCUUGCUUUCGUUCUAGGAAAACUUGGGUUCAAUAUUCAGGCACCAGCAACUUCAUUCACUGGUGGGCUAGGUGGGAAUUCAUCCCCUUUUGCUGUACUGCCUCAGGUAAUUCUCAAUGGUCAAUUGGAAGGAGAGGGAAUAUAAUAGGUUAACACUUUAGUUUAUCCAAUCAAAUGGGGAAACAAAACUCGGUUGGAUGGUGCAACAUCAUGAAAUUAUGAAUAGGUGGUAGGUCUUGGGCUGUUCUGGUUCUUGUAGUCAGCUUUCUGUCAACCUUACGCUCUAUAACUAGCAAAGCAAUUAAGUAACUAAAGACUUUCCAAUGCCUAAUUCAAAUGUUUAGCUUGAGCAUAUGAAUUAGUAUGUUGAGUGCCCUUGAUUGAUGAGACGAUAUAUUCUAUUUAUCCUACUCAGAACUAGGUUAUUUUACUCGAUA